rnacentral:rRNA from 1 species
CCUACGGGUGGCAGCAGUGGGGAAUAUUGGACAAUGGGGGCAACCCUGAUCCAGCCAUGCCGCGUGUGUGAAGAAGGCCCUCGGGUUGUAAAGCACUUUCAGUGAGGAAGAACGCCUGGUGGUUAAUACCCAUCAGGAAAGACAUCACUCACAGAAGAAGCACCGGCUAACUCCGUGCCAGCAGCCGCGGUAAUACGGAGGGUGCGAGCGUUAAUCGGAAUUACUGGGCGUAAAGCGCGCGUAGAUGGCUUGAUAAGCCGGUUGUGAAAGCCCCGGGCUCAACCUGGGAACGGCAUCCGGAACUGUCAAGCUAGAGUGCAGGAGAGGAAGGUAGAAUUCCCGGUGUAGCGGUGAAAUGCGUAGAGAUCGGGAGGAAUACCAGUGGCGAAGGCGGCCUUCUGGACUGACACUGACACUGAGGUGCGAAAGCGUGGGUAGCAAACAGGAUUAGAUACCCCAGCAGUC